GACGAACGCUGGCGGCGUGCUUAACACAUGCAAGUCGAACGGGCCUUGUCCCCUUUUUUUUUGGGGGUGGGGUUAGUGGCGAACGGGUGAGUAACACGUGAGUAACCUGCCCCUCACUUCUGGAUAACCGCUUGAAAGGGUGGCUAAUACGGGGUGUUCUGGCCUGCUCGCAUGGGUGGGUUUGGAAAGAUUCGACCGGUUUUGGUUGUUUUGGUGGGGGAUGGGCUCGCGGCCUAUCAGCUUGUUGGUGGGGUGAUGGCCUGCCAAGGCUUUGACGGGUAGCCGGCCUGAGAGGGUGGGCGGUCACACUGGGACUGAGACGCGGCCCAGACUCCUACGGGAGGCAGCAGUGGGGAAUAUUGCACAAGGGGCGCAAGCCGGAUGCAGCGACGCCGCGUGAGGGAUGGAGGCCUUCGGGUUGUGAACCUCUUUCGCCAGUGAAGAAGGUCCUGCUCUUUGUGGUGGGGUUGACGGUAGCUGGGUUAAUGAAGCGCCGGCUAACUACGUG
rnacentral:rRNA from 1 species